CCUACGGGUGGCAGCAGUGGGGAAUAUUGCGCAAUGGGCGAAAGCCUGACGCAGCGACGCCGCGUGAGGGAUGAAGGUCUUCGGAUCGUAAACCUCUGUCAGCAGGGAAGAACGGUCACUGUGCUAAUCAGCAGUGAAUUGACGGUACCUGCAAAGGAAGCACCGGCUAACUCCGUGCCAGCAGCCGCGGUAAUACGGAGGGUGCGAGCGUUAAUCGGAGUUACUGGGCGUAAAGCGCUCGUAGGCGGUAUGUCAAGUCAAGGGUGAAAUCCCCGCGCUCAACGUGGGAACUGCUUUUGAAACUGGCAAACUGGAGUGUGUGAGAGGAUAGUGGAAUUCCAGGUGUAGGAGUGAAAUGCGUAGAUAUCUGGAGGAACAUCAGUGGCGAAGGCGACUAUCUGGCACAUAACUGACGCUGAGGAGCGAAAGCGUGGGUAGCAAACAGGAUUAGAUACCCGUGUAGUC
rnacentral:rRNA from 1 species